UUCCGGUUGAUCCCGCCGGACCCGACUGCUAUCAGAGUGGGACUAAGCCAUGCGAGUCAACGUAGAAAUACGUGGCGAACGGCUCAGUAACACGUAGUCAACAUGCCCAGAGGACGUGGAUAACCUCGGGAAACUGAGGAUAAACCGCGAUAGGUCAUGAUUUCUGGAAUGGUUUAUGGCUGAAAUCUAUAUGGCCUCUGGAUUGGACUGCGGCCGAUCAGGCUGUUGGUGAGGUAAUGGCCCACCAAACCUGUAACCGGUACGGGCUCUGAGAGGAGGAGCCCGGAGAUGGGCACUGAGACAAGGGCCCAGGCCCUAUGGGGCGCAGCAGGCGCGAAAUCUCUGCAAUAGGCGAAAGCUUGACAGGGUUACUCUGAGUGAUUCCCGCUAAGGGGAUCUUUUGGCACCUCUAAAAAUGGUGCAGAAUAAGGGGUGGGCAAGUCUGGUGUCAGCCGCCGCGGUAAUACCAGCACCCCGAGUGGUCGGGACAAUUAUUGCACCUAAAGCAUCCGUAGCCGGUACUGCAAGUCUUCCGUUAAAUCCACCUGCUCAACAGUUGGGCUGCGGAGGAUACUACAGCGCUAGGAGGCGGGAGAGGCAAGCGGUACUCAUUGGGUAGGGGUAAAAUCCACUGAUCCAUUGAAGACCACCAGUGGCGAAGGCGGCUUGCCAGAACGCGCUCGACG
rnacentral:rRNA from 1 species